AGCUAUAUAAUUUAAUUUAAAAUAUAUAAUUGCAGAUUAUAGUAUCUCAGUUAAAAUUUGAGUAUAGCUU
rnacentral:tRNA from 1 species